rnacentral:rRNA from 1 species
UACGAAGGGUGCAAGCGUUAAUCGGAAUUACUGGGCGUAAAGGGUGCGUAGGCGGUUCGUUAAGUCUGUUGUGAAAUCCCCGGGCUCAACCUGGGAAUGGCAAUGGAUACUGGCGGGCUAGAGUGUGUCAGAGGAUGGUGGAAUUCCCGGUGUAGCGGUGAAAUGCGUAGAUAUCUGGAGGAACACCGGUGGCGAAGGCGGCAUCCUGGACCGGCAUUGACGCUGAGGCGCGAAAGCCAGGGGAGCAAACGGG